AAUCAACGCUGGCGGCGUGCCUCAGACAUGCAAGUCGAACGCGAAAGAGGGCUUCGGCCCUUGAGUAGAGUGGCGCACGGGUGAGUAACACGUGGGUAAUUUACCUUUGGGUGGGAUAACAGUCGGAACGGCUGCUAAUACCGCAUAAUGCAGCGGUUCCACAUGGAGACAGUUGUUAAAGCGGGGGAGGCGAGCAAUACGCCCUCCGCGCCUGAAGAGAAGCCCGCCGGCAGAUUAGCUAGUUGGUGGAGGUAAUGGCUCACCAAGGCUUCGAUCUGUAGCCGGCC
rnacentral:rRNA from 1 species